AAAAAUACCAUAUAUUAUAUAAAAGUAUAAAAGUAACCGUACAAGUAACAAGUUCAGUGAACAAAUGUAUAUAAAAAAUAUCAAGCUACAGAUUCUUUGUGCUCUGAUAAUGGAGAUCAACAGAAUUAUUUGAAAGGCGGGAUAAUGAUGCCAUCUGCUUCAUCAUACGCCUCAUCCCCUCUUGCAUAGAGCGAAGCUGCUCUUCACUUUGUUGCUUGAGGCAUGAUACCUUUUCCUCAACGCGUUGCUGAAGAAUUCAUUCUUGAUUUUUCUUCAUGCGCAUGAUCUCCUCCUCAAGCACUAUAAUGCGCUCAUCAGCAACAUGAUCUGUCACCGUAGCUGUCCUGUGUGAAGUGGCAAAGCUGUUAAAUAAGUCUGGACACAAAGUUGAAGCAUGAGAGCCCAAACCGUACACGCGCCGCUUCUUCUCUCCACCCACAGUAUCCAAGUAUAGGCGAUUGACAUUGAUUGAGAUCUCUUGUGAAUCGUCAUCUGUGAGUUCGAAGUAGCAUUAGUAGUAGUAGCAGCAACCACUAUAGCCUCCAUUUGAUCCUUGAUUAGCUCCAAUGUUGCCACUGGCGGAUAGGCACAGAUUCAUCACCUAAAUCCCUUGCAGUAACCUUAUCGUCUUCUUGGCAUCAGCGUUUUAAGCAUCUUGGACUGAAAAGGCAGAGCUUUAUGAAGGAAAGUAGCAGCUAGGCUCAACGGUAAGACACUCAUUCACCAAGUGUCGUGCCUGGGCCGUUGAACUCUAGAAUAAUCAAUCUCCACCCAAAAAAUGGUGACCGACUGAAAGAGAGGGAAGAAAGGGAUCGAAACUUGAAGGAGUGAGGAGCGGCGGUGGAAAACAGAUGAGUGUUUCAGGUAGGGAUGGCAGUGGGUCGGGCUUUUGCAGCUACAAUCAGACGGAAUCUUCCUAGGACGGACGGGUUUGGACAUAAUAGGAUUUGGGAAGAUUUGGAGUUUGAAA
rnacentral:misc_RNA from 1 species